CCAUUCCGCAAGGAAGUAAGAUCCCUGAAAGAUGAUCAGGUUGAUAGGUCUGAGGUGGAAGUGUGGCGACACAUGGAGCUGACAGAUACUAAUCGAUCGAGGACUUAACCAAUUU
rnacentral:rRNA from 1 species